rnacentral:rRNA from 1 species
GAUUGCCUAGUAACUGCGAGUGAAGAGGGAAAAGCUCAAAUUUAAAAUCUGGCAGUCUUCCGCUGUCCGAGUUGUAAUUUAGAGAAGUGUUACCCUUGCUGGACCGUGUACAAGUUUCCUGGAACGGAACGUCAUAGAGGGUGAGAAUCCCGUCUUUGAGACGGACUCCCAGCAUUUUGUGGUACGCUCUCGAAGAGUCGUGUUGUUUGGGAAUGCACCACUAAAUGGGUGGUAAAUUCCAUCUAAAGCUAAAUAUUGACGAGAGACCGAUAGCAAACAAGUACCGUGAGGGAAAGAUGAAAAGAACUUUGGAAAGAGAGUUAAACAGUACGUGAAAUUGUUGAGAAGGAAACGCUUGAAG